AGUGAACGGCCACAUUGGGACUGAGACACGGCCCAAACUCCUACGGGAGGCGCAGUGGGGAAUAUUGCACAAUGGGGGAAACCCUGAUGCAGCGACGCCGCUUGAGGGAAAAAGUAUUUCGGUAUGUAAACUUCUAUCAGCAGGGAAGAUAAUGACGGUACCUGACUAAGAAGCUCCGGCUAAAUACGUGCCAGCAGCCGC
rnacentral:rRNA from 1 species